rnacentral:rRNA from 1 species
AUACGUAGGGUGCAAGCGUUGUUCGGAAUUACUGGGCGUAAAGCGCAUGUAGGCGGACAGAUAAGUCAGAUGUGAAAGCCUGGGGCUCAACCUCAGAAGUGCAUCUGAAACUAUAUGUCUUGAAUAUGGAAGAGGGUAGUGGAAUUCCUGGUGUAGUGGUGAAAUACGUAGAUAUCAGGAGGAACAUCGGUGGCGAAGGCGGCUACCUGGUCCAAUAUUGACGCUGAGAUGCGAAAGCGUGGGUAGCGAACAGGAUUAGAUACCCCGGUAGUCC